rnacentral:rRNA from 1 species
CGAGGGUGCUAAGCGUUAUCCGGAUUUACUGGUUUAAAGGGUGUGUAGGCGGGCUAUUAAGUCAGUGGUGAAAUCUCCGGGCUCAACCUGGAAACUGCCAUUGAUACUAUUAGUCUUGAAUUUUGUUGAGGUAGGCGGAAUAAGUCAUGUAGCGGUGAAAUGCAUAGAUAUGACUUAGAACACCAAUUGCGAAGGCAGCUUGCUAAACAAUAUUGACGCUGAGGCACGAAAGCGUGGGGAUCAAACAGGAUUAGAUACCCUGGUAGUCCACGCCCUAAACGAUGAUUACUCGACAUACGCGAUACACAGUGUGUGUCUGAGCGAAAGCAUUAAGUAAUCCACCUGGGAAGUACGACCGCAAGGUUG